UGACCCCCAACCUCCACCUUCAUCCUGAUCGUCUCCUAAAAGGCCGUAUCCUCCGAUCGUAGCUGAUCGUAACCAUUCAAGUUAACGUGUCAAUUUACACCGACUUCUUUCCGUUCCUCUGCGGAUCGCCGGACUCCUCAGCUGAUCACAAGAGUUCUAUUUUUUAUGGACGCCGGAGCAUGGCGGAUAAAUUCAGCACAGAUUAACCCGUGCUGGAAAGGAAGUCGGGCACAGACGAACAACCUUGGGGAAGAACAAGUGAAAGGUUUUUUAGACGUCAUUUCACCCCGAUGACACCAUGGAUGAG